rnacentral:rRNA from 1 species
AUGCGUCGUUCCACGGGUGGGGACAAAAGAGAGAGCAGUUCUUUUUUCCCAACGCAACCUCCUCUCCUUCUUUCCCAUCCCGACCGGCGGCUAGGGUUCCCCGGCGCCGCCACAGCUACAGCCACCGGCGCCAUCCCUGCUCGUCCAGCGCUGGCCACUGGAGAAGGUGGACGCCGUCUCCGUCUCCGUCGCCGUCUCCGUCGCCGCCUCCGACAUCGACCUCAACCUCGACCGUGUCUGCGGCAGCGGCAAGGACCUCCGCCCGUAGGUCUCCUUCUCGUCAAGCGAGCGCUCGGGACGAGCAGGAUCUCAAUCUCGAGUGGGGGACAGACGCGGCCACGGGCAGCCGCCGGGGACGCCUCUGCAUCGUCGGAGGCGGAAUUAGGGGAGCAGCAGGCGGCGAUUCUGGUGGUGGAAACAUUGGGUGUCCUCGGCCAGUGCUGGUUGUCCUCGCUGGCAACCUCGCCGGCUCCAACCCGUCCGUAG